UAGUCCACGCCGUAAACGAUGGAUACUAGUUGUUGGGAUUUAUCUCAGUGACUAAGCGAAAGUGAUAAGUAUCCCACCUGGGGAGUACGUUCGCAAGAAUGAAACUCAAAGGAAUUGACGGGGGCCCGCACAAGCGGUGGAGCAUGUGGUUUAAUUCGAUGAUACGCGAGGAACCUUACCAGGGCUUAAAUGUAAGUUGCAUGAUCUAGAGAUAGGUCUUUCUUCGGACUACUUACAAGGUGCUGCAUGGUUGUCGUCAGCUCGUGCCGUGAGGUGUCAGGUUAAGUCCUAUAACGAGCGCAACCCCUGUUGUUAGUUGCCAGCACAUUAUGGUGGGAACUCUAACAAGACUGCCGGUGCAAACCGUGAGGGAAGGUGGGGAUGACGUCAAAUCAUCACGGGCCCUUACGUCCUGGGGCUACACACGUGCUACAAUGGGUAGGUACAGAGAGCAGCCACUGCGUGAGC
rnacentral:rRNA from 1 species